GAUUUAUGUCAACAAGCAUGACGCUGGAACAAUCAAGACCAAGAACGAGGUGCCCGGGCAGUCUAUAGUCGAGUUGGAUGAUUUGAGCACUGUGGUGGGAAGCUUGAAACUGGAGUUCACACAACACACCGGGUCGCACUCCGAGAAGCCAGUGCAUUCGUAUCAACCGAGCUCCGGCUGAGGACGUUCUUCUUUCCCUUCCAUCACCACGCUCGUCUCUCCAUUGCCAGACAACAAAGAUAACACUUUUAGCCAUCCAAGUAGUAGAAA